UUCUGCGCGGUAAUACGGAGGGUGCAAGCGUUACUCGGAAUCACUGGGCGUAAAGGGGCGCGUAGGCGGAUUAUCAAGUCUCUUGUGAAAUCUAAUGGCUUAACCAUUAAACUGCUUGGGAAACUGAUAGUCUAGAGUGAGGGAGAGGCAGAUGGAAUUGGUGGUGUAGGGGUAAAAUCCGUAGAUAUCACCAAGAAUACCCAUGCGAAGGCGAUCUGCUGGAACUCAACUGA
rnacentral:rRNA from 1 species